GUUUGAUCGUCUUUCUUAGAUUCUGGUCUGUGUUGAGGAAUCUAACUCAUAUGGGAGACUACUCAGCCAACCUAUUGUUCCUCUUGAUGUCUGAGAAGAGAAGUUCUGCUGGAGAAAAACUAAUGACUUGCUAAAAAGAAAUAAUGAGAAUUCUGUGAAAUGACCUUCGUCAAAAUCCAUUUGUGUGGAAAAUGGCACACUGCAGUCUCUCAGCAGACCACUACAGCAUCCACACCACUGGGGACGACACACCAAUCAAUCCAUCGGUCUUGAUUUUCAUUCCUGCCACUUCAAACUCAGCUGUGAACCACUCCAGUGCAAGCUGGAGGGCAUGAAGCAGGCAUGGAGGAGAUCCUGGCCCCAGACAUCCAGAGUCCCCCAGAGUGCGAGAACCCAAGGAGAACCAACGGAGGGACAACCAUGCCACCCUCCUGGAAAGAACUGAGAGCCCCAGACGUGGGGUCACCCAGCAGCCACGGUG